UGAUUUGACAAACGAGGUUGAUGAGC
rnacentral:sRNA from 1 species